UACCUUUUGUCAUAUUCGUUUACAGCAAGUUGUUUUACACCUAUUACACUAUUUUUUUCUUUUGUUUUUUAGUUUGACUGUCGCUUCUUCCCCUUUUUUUCUCUCAGCAAGUAAUACAAUUGAAUACGAAAUCUAAGGAAGAUAAAUACGAGACUAGAAAGAAAAGCAGCCAGACAGAAGAAAUAUCACAGAUGGCAAAUCACAGAUGGCAAAAAGAGAAAUGAACAUGCAAUCCAGCAAGAAAAGUAUUAUAUACUAUAUUUGGAAAAAUAAAUGAGAUGGUUAUGGCUAGAA